rnacentral:rRNA from 1 species
UACGUAGGGUGCAAGCGUUGUCCGGAAUUAUUGGGCGUAAAGAGCUCGUAGGUGGCCUGUCGCGUCGGCUGUGAAAACUCGGGGCUCAACUCCGAGCUUGCAGUCGAUACGGGCAGGCUAGAGUUCGGCAGGGGAGACUGGAAUUCCUGGUGUAGCGGUGAAAUGCGCAGAUAUCAGGAGGAACACCGGUGGCGAAGGCGGGUCUCUGGGCCAUUACUGACGCUGAGGAGCGAAAGCGUGGGGAGCGAACAGG